GACGAACGCUGGCGGCGUGCUUAACACAUGCAAGUCGAACGGAAAGGCCCUGCUUUUGUGGGGUGCUCGAGUGGCGAACGGGGGAGUAACACGUGAGUAACCUGCCAUUGACUUUGGGAUAACUUCAGGAAACUGGGGCUAAUACCGGAUAGGAGCUCCUGCUGCAUGGUGGGGGUUGGAAAGUUUCGGCGGUUGGGGAUGGACUCGCGGCUUAUCAGCUUGUUGGUGGGGUAGUGGCUUACCAAGGCUUUGACGGGUAGCCGGCCUGAGAGGGUGACCGGCCACAUUGGGACUGGGAUACGGCACAGACUCCUACGGGAGGCAGCAGUGGGGAAUAUUGCACAAUGGGCGGAAGCCUGAUGCAGCAACGCCGCGUGCGGGAUGACGGCCUUCGGGUUGUAAUCCGCUUUCGCCUGUGACGAAGCGUGAGUGACGGUAAUGGGUAAAGAAGCACCGGCUAACUACGUG
rnacentral:rRNA from 1 species